GUAGGGAAUAUUGCGCAAUGGACGAAAGUCUGACGCAGCGACGCCGCGUGAGUGAUGAAGGCCUUAGGGUCGUAAAGCUCUGUUGAAUGGGAAGAAAAAAAUGACGGUACCAUUCGAGGAAGGACCGGCUAACUUCGUGCCAGCAGCCGCGGUAAUACGAGGGGUCCUAGCGUUGUUCGGAAUCAUUGGGCGUAAAGGGUGUGUAGGUGGCCAUGUAAGUCAGGUGUGAAAGCCCCGGGCUCAACCCGGGAAGUGCACUUGAUACUGCGUGGCUUGAGUACCGAAGAGGGUAGUGGAAUUCCAGGUGUAGUGGUGAAAUACGUAGAUAUCUGGAGGAACAACGGUGGCGAAGGCGGCUACCUGGUCGAGUACUGACACUGAGACACGAAAGCAUGGGGAUCAAACAGGAUUAGAAACCCUGGUAGUCC
rnacentral:rRNA from 1 species